ACACCACAUCAACACAAUAAACGAUAAAAAUCCUUUAUUUUUAUUAUUAAAAAGCACUUGAUAAAAUUCAACAUCCUUUCAUGAUUAAAAAAAACAACAAACUGAGCAAAUUAGGUGCAGAAGGAAUGUACCUCAACAUAAAAGUGUACAAAUUUCAGUUAUGCAAGAUAAGUAAGUUCUGGAGAGCUAUACAGCAUAGUACCCACAGAAAAUGUUACUAUAUUCUUAAAUUGUUUAAUUAAAAACUUUUAUUAUUAUUAUUUUUUUUUAGACAGAUUUUCACUCUUGUUGCUAAGGCUGGAGUGCAAUGGUGCUGUCUCGGC
rnacentral:lncRNA from 10 species